rnacentral:sRNA from 1 species
GGACCGCUUGAGGCGUGCAGCGUCCCGA